CUCUCCAACCUCAGCGAUAGUAAUAAUAAGAUUAUGGUGAUGAUGAUGAUGAUGAUGGUGAUGGUGAUGGUGGUAAUGAUUGUGAUGGUGGUGAUGAUGAUGGUGAUAAUGAUGGUGAUGAUGAUGAUGAUGAUGGUGAUGGUGGUGAUGAUGAUGGUGAUAAUGAUGGUGAUGAUGAUGAUGAUGAUGGUGAUGGUGGUGAUGAUGAUGGUGAUAAUGAUGGUGAUGAUGAUGAUGAUGAUGGUGAUGGUGGUGAUGAUGAUGGUGAUAAUGAUGGUGAUGAUGAUGAUGAUGAUGGUGAUGGUGGUGAUGAUGAUGGUGAUAAUGAUGGUGAUGAUGAUGAUGAUGAUGGUGAUGGUGGUGAUGAUGAUGGUGAUAAUGAUGGUGAUGAUGAUGAUGAUGAUGGUGAUGGUGGUGAUGAUGAUGGUGAUGAUGAUGAUGGUGAUGGUGGUGAUGAUGAUGGUGAUGAUGAUGAUGGUGAUGGUGGUGAUGUUGAUGGUGAUGAUGAUGGUGAUGGUGAUGAUGAUGAUGAUGGUGAUGAUGAUGGUGAUGGUGAUGAUGAUGAUGAUGGUGAUGAUGAUGGUGAUGGUGAUGAUGAUGAUGAUGGUGAUGAUGAUGGUGAUGGUGAUGAUGAUGAUGAUGGUGAUGAUGAUGGUGAUGGUGGUGAUGAUGAUGAUGGUGAUGGUGGUGAUGAUGAUGGUGAUGAUGAUUGUCAACACUUACAUAGCACCUAUCAAGCUCCAGGCAUCAACUCACUUCGUCUUUUCAACAGCUACAAGGAUGGGGUCUCCAGCAUCCCUAGCUUACCCCCAGCUUCAAUCCUUGUACAGCCCACAUUCUUUCUCCUCUGGCCCUGAGACACACUCUUCCCCCAGCUCUGAACCCAUCUCCACUUCCUCUUUGCCAGACUAAGGCCAUCCCUCCCUCAGUUCCCCGUAAGGCCAUCCCUGCGCAUCUGUCUAUCCCUACUGGAGCCCCAGGACCAGCUACAUACUCUGCAGGGCUCAGGAUGAAAUGAAAACUAGGGGCCUUAUUCAAAAGUCAUGAAGAAUUUCAGAACAGUGACAGCAGAACAUUAAACCAAGUUCAGGGCCCUUCUGAGCUCGGGGUCUUGUGUGGC
rnacentral:lncRNA from 1 species